rnacentral:misc_RNA from 1 species
GAGGAACUUUGUAGAAGCGAUGACGGAGCCUUCACAGGAAAAUCUUUUCAGGAGUGUAAGGACCUGGCUGCUCGACUUUCUGGAACAUUCAUGGGUGCUGCUCGGAACAAGCAUAGAGAAGAAAUCUUAAAAAUUGUCAAGGAAGGUAUUGAAUAUGCUUUCAUAGAAGCUCCAAAACAGUUGUCUUUUCUGGAAAGUGCAGUGCUUUAUUUUGUAUCCAAAUUGCCGACACCUGAUGUCCUGGAAAUGUAAGAAUUACUCUCUAGUUUUGGUAUCUUCUGACUUCUAGCAUCUUUAAUUUCUUUUUGAUUAGGGCACUGUGUACCCAACUGUGCUUUUCCUUUUAUGUGGCCACUGGCCAAACAGAUAGUAGAAUGUUAUGGAAAACUUAUUGGCACUAAUACUAUCAUUGGUUUGCAAGUAGUCUAAAAGAUGUCCAAAGCCGAAUAGAGAAUGUAAAUACUGAUGAAGAUCCCAGUGGUUGGCGCCCCUACUACACAUUUGUGGACAACUUGCGAGAAAAGUAUGCAAAGAAUGAAGGUUUCCCAGGUAAUGCUGUAAUUUGACCUUCUGUAUGACUGGAAUCUAAUGUGUGCACAUUUAUGGUUUUCCUCUGAGCCACAAUUUUACUGAGUUUGAAAUUUUUUUUUCCAGAUGAAGAUAGAUGGCUGCUAUUCUUAUUUUUAAUCAAAUGCCCAUGUUGGUCUUUCUUUCUUUGCUUAUGUAUGUGCACAUGCAUACUUUGUGUGUGUGUCCUUGACUGCUUGGAUGCACCUUGUUUCAUUUAUUUUCCCUUCCAUGUUGGCAUCACAUUUUCUAGAGAAAAAUUUCUUCUUUGAGGCUUGAAAUGUAAGAAACAAUGCCGGUUCAAGUUUUUAGCUUUAUUUUUAAGGAAGAAACUACUCUUUGGUUUUUACAUAAUGCUCUAAGCCUUUUCAUGGACAAACACUUGGUAAUAUUAAUAGAAGUCAUCAAUCACAUGGAUUGGACAUGGGGCCUAAUCUUUUUAGAAGUUUUCUAAUUUCAAUGUGUCAAUUCACUAGUUUAUUCAUGCAUCCCAUUUCCACUAGUUUUAAGUUUCUGGAUUUGGCAAUUGUGCUGUUGGCAACUUGGCAUCUUUGUGAUGAGGGGCAAACUGUUGCAAUGAUGGUGAUUUUAGCGCCAGAUGUUUCACUGGAAUCUAAUGCCAUUUUGUUAUGUCCACAUAUCUUUGUGAGGUGCCAGUACUAAUGUACACAAUUUUUCUUUCAUUGCAAGGAGGCUGUUUCCAUGUUUUGAACCCAUGAACUGUUAAUCACAAUGGAGAGGCUUUACCAUUGUGCUCACCCUUUCACUCUAUUACUACAACAAAUUAAGAUCCACUUGAUCCUGCAGUAGCUGAUGAGGGCAUUCGUCUUCAUUCAUUGCAUUGGAUACCAAAGACGGAAAGUAGUUUAGCUUGAGGCUGUUUAUGGGGUUUUUGGCAGUUAUUAAGAACCUCAGAAUGAGGCUGAAAUUUGUUAUAGAUGUUACAUCUUAUUAUGAAUUUUUGGUCAUGCUUUGGAUAAUGAAAUUGCACUUUGGCUUUAAGAAUGUAUUCCGAUGCCAAUGUUGUUGAUAUGUUGCAGAUGAGAAAGAGGGGACUGCUGUAAGACGCAGGGGUCGUCCAAGGAAGCAACAAAACAUAGAAGGAAAGAGACUCUUUGGUGAGCAUGGUUCAAGUGAAGAGGAGGAUUCAAUUAGUGGAUCUGAUCAAGAAGAUGCACGGGAAGAAGAAAAGCAAAAUGAGGAGGAAGAGGAGGCUCCUUUGAUACAUUCAUUGAAAGCAUCCAAAUUGAGGUCAUUUAAGGUUUCAAGAGAUGAAAAUAAAGGCCAGGCAAGGACAGGAGUUUCUAAAACUUCUGGAGCAUCAAACUAGUGAUUGCCAUUGUCCAAGUUGCGGUGUAUAUUAAAAGCAGAGCUCAUUAGUUGUGGAUGAGAUUUGAUUUGGAAAUCUUGAGCUCUUCUUCUCCAUAUGUUAGAGGCUAGGGUUAGAUCAUGUAUGUGUUGGAAUGUAUGUAGGAAUUUCUAUGUAUGCCUGCUGAUGAAUGCAAAUAGUUUCCUGAACUGCUUCUGGAUGGAUGCCCUCUUGACUCUGCAUCAUACUGGAAAGCUUAUCUCAGAUAAACAUUCCAGACCAAGAGUAAUAAAAAACUCUGUAAACUAUAGCUGUACUGGUAUCUGUCUGACCACACAGUAAAUCUCCACUAAUGGGUAGUUCUCUCCAAUGUUUUUGUGAACUUGGUUCAAAUUGCCAAUGUGGAAUCCAAAUUUGCAAGUGCAAUUUCUGAGUCUGGUGAGAUUAAAGUGCAGGGAAGAGUGAAAGAUAGGAAGCCCCAUCUUACCAUGAUAGGGUCAUUUGGUGUUGAUGUGAGCAUGGAAGGUAGCCUCAUACUGUGCAGGCAGGUUGAUCAACCAGGUAUGAUUGGUAAAGUCGGGAGUAUCCUUGGAGAGGAGAAUGUAAAUGUGAGCUUCAUGACUGUUGGGAGGAUCGCUCCACGAAAGCAAGCAGUUAUGACCAUUGGGGUGGAUGAGGAACCCAGCAAGGAAGCAUUGAAGAGAAUUGGAGAAAUAACAGCCAUUGAAGAAUUUGUUUUCCUGAAGUUGUAGUAGGGCAGUCAAUAUCAUCAUCCUUCAUGCCCAAUUUUGGGGACGCUUCAUGGUAGUAAUUAGUCAAGAUUUAUUAUUAUUAUUA